rnacentral:lncRNA from 1 species
AGGUGCAGAUGCUACUCAGAGCAGGCUGGAUCCAAGCAAAGGCCCGGGCUCCCAUUGUACACGUCCUCCUGGGUUCAGGGGAGGAAAACUUGCUGUGUUAUUAUGAAACAGGGCUCUGGUGGGAGAGUCUCUACAUUCAUAACCAGUUUCUUCUCUGAAUGGUGAUAAUCUUCAAGAAUUCAAGUUUUUGGUUAACCUUUUGGGACUGAAGACAUAAUAGUGUUGUCUCUAUGCCUCUGUUUCACUGUAGACUUUCUGCCUAAAAUUGCCACCAGACCAUCCUGUCUGUCUUCUUGUUGCAUUACAAAGGGGUAUAACGGCAUGGAGAUCCGGAGCGGCACCGGAGCGCUGAGCUUUUAACCUGGAAGGACAGACAGACGAGUCAGGUUGUCUGUUGGUACCCAUCUGAUUCUGCCAUCACCCCAGAGCUACCUCGGGUAUUCAAGCAAGGGAAAGCUUACUGCCUCUUGGAAGAAACAGAUGCCACUGAGCAGGAGGACAGGGAGCAGCAUAGUGUCACGGCAGGCGGCCCUGCAAAGGGCCGGCAUGUCUCCUUCGUGUCUCCAGCUUUUGUGGGGCUGGAGCAGAGGCACAGCUCCAUCCGCUCCCAGGAAACACCCCCGGCAGCUGCCUUCCUCAGCUCCUCUCCAGAGGCUAUCCGCUGGAAGAGUCUCGUCUAAAGAGUCAGAUGAACCUCAAAGUGACAAAGUCCAUGCUGUCAGUUCAAGAYCCCACUAGGAUCCACCACAGAUGCCAGAAUCAGGUGAUUUCAGACCUGUACCUCCACAUCGGUAGAGUUCAGGCCAGCUGAGAAGUCCGGACUUCCUCAGCAGAGGGAGGAAGAAAGCCCUAGCUGUGCUGUUGACAUGACUCACCCGGCUCAUGCCCCUGCCUGGCAGCUGAAGCCUGGCGAUGGGAAUGCCAGAGGCCCUUCCCAGCCUGGUCCUGCAUGCAACACCCUGCCCUCAGGGUCUCUAAUCAACGUUUUGAUUAUUAGGAUGAAAUUGGUCAUAAAAAGGAAA